GAGCCUGAGAAACGGCUACCACAUCCAAGGAUGGCAGCAGGCGCGCAAAUUACCCAAUCCCGACACGGGGAGGUAGUGACAAUAAAUAACAAUACGGGGUUCUUUCGGAUCUCGUAAUUGGAAUGAGUACAAUUUAAAUCUCUUAACGAGGAACAAUUGGAGGGCAAGUCUGGUGCCAGCAGCCGCGGUAAUUCCAGCUCCAAUAGCGUAUANNNAAGUUGUUGCAGUUAAAAAGCUCGUAGUUGAAUUUCGGGGUUAGUAGGUUGGUCAUGCCUCCGGUAUGUACUGAUCUCACUGAUCCCUCCUUCCUUAUGAACCGUAAUGCCAUUAAUUUGGUGUUGCGGGGAAUUUGGACUGUUACUUUGAAAAAAUUAGAGUGUUUAAAGCAAGCUAACGCUUGAAUACAUUAGCAUGGAAUAAUGAAAUAGGACGUUCGAUCCUAUUUUGUUGGUUUCUAGGAUUGACGUAAUGAUUAAUAGGGAUAGUUGGGGGCAUUAGUAUUCAAUUGUCAGAGGUGAAAUUCUUGGAUUUAUUGAAGACUAACUACUGCGAAAGCAUUUGCCAAGGAUGUUUUCAUUAAUCAAGAACGAAAGUUAGGGGAUCGAAGACGAUCAGGUACCGUCGUAGUCUUAACCAUAAACUAUGCCGACUAGGGAUCGGAUGAUGUUAAUUUUUUAAUGACUCAUUCGGCGCCUUACGGGAAACCA
rnacentral:rRNA from 1 species